rnacentral:lncRNA from 1 species
GGCUGCAGCACCGGCGGACUCCCACGGAGCCCUGAACUUCAGGAUGUGGUGCCCGCCCUACUCUGACUCAGGCACUUGCAUGGUGAGGUGGACACAGCCGCUUGUGAAACACGAGCUGGACUGGAGACGAUCUCAAGAGAACGCUGGUUCAAAAGACGGUUCAAUUUCUAGGUCCCGUUGGAGACAGGUUCAGAAUGACUUUGCCAUAUGUUGGGCUUUGAUGUGUUUAAAUGCCAUAAUCUUACCGUUCAGAGAUGGGGAAAAAAAAUUAAUUAUUUCAUAUUGUAACUACUUGUUUUUCUUGACUUUACAAUUUGUUUUUUGUAUAUCACAAAAUUAUAAGAUCAUUAGAAAAAUAAGUAAUAUUAAAAAUUGGAGAAAUAAUAAAGUUAUAAUAAUAAAAAGUUAG